CUGCUUAUGAACUGUUGUUCCGAUAAAGUUGGAACGAUGCAAAGAAGAUUAGCAUGCCCCCUGCGAAAGGAUGACACACACAAAUCAGAAAAAUGCUCCAAAUUAUU